UCGUCGGCCCUCUGUCACGGGCCACUGUGCUGGAAAACGCUUUUGGCGGCGGUGGCCACCAAAAUGCAAGUUGGAGCUACCAAAAUGACCAUCCUCUCGCACACUAACUGGAUUCUUAAAUAAUUUCAAUGAAAACAAUCCUCCACACCUCUAACCGAAUCAAAGAACCUCAAGAACCCUAAUGUUGCUUCUUCAAAUUAAAUCCCCACUACAGCGAUUCAAAGCCCUUGGUAUAAGGGCUUUGAACCCUCUCAUCAUACUCUACACGGUGGUAACGAUUAUUAAAUAAAAAUAAGAAGUUCUUCAUGGUGCCUUACCGAAAUGGUGAGGAAUAAGAGUCUACUUCCAGGCUUUGUUGUUGGUGCAGGUGGAUCCUUUUCCAAAUCUGUCAUGGCCUGCUUGUGCUCAUUUAUCAAUUAAGUUAUUGCAUAAUUGUGAUUGGCAUGACAAUGAUGAUUGGUAUGACAUGGCUAUGCAGCUUGUCAUAGGGUCAUAACAGGUCUUCCAUAAGGAGCUUGUACAUUAGAUGUCUUGAUGAUGCAAUGUUGUGAGGCAAGUUGUUAAGUGCUAUAUGAUUUGUGUUGCUGAAUGUUGCCAUGCAUGAUGUGAGCUACGUAUUGCUGUUGUGGGUUUUUGUUGUGCACCUGUUAUAGUUGGUAUUUUGAUGUUAGAUUAUUAUAAAUGUAUGGUAUGCUUGUUUGGUUUUUUUGCUCUGCACCACUGCCAUUUUUGCAUGUCUACUUGAGUCCAUUACAACUUUGACAGGUGUAUGUGUAUGGUCUUGGUUCCUGUUACAACUUAAUGGCCUUGUAUUUUGAUGGUAACACUUGCAUUUGACAGACCAAAUUUAAAAAAAAAACCUUUGCUUCACUGGUUGGUAUCAUACAGUAGCAAUGGUCAUGGAGCCAGAAGUGCAAAUCUGUCCAUUUUGGUUUAGACCUGGUUCAAUGUUAGUGAUUGUAGGCUUGUGAAAACUGGAUGCAGUAUGUGAUGACUGUUGCUCCAUUGCAUUAAUAUAAUGUGAAUAUCUUGGCCUGCUCAUGCUUCCUAUCAUGUGUCUGUUAGAUCCAUGGUUAUACAUUUCUAUGUUAGGUUCAGUUUGUGUGUAACUUUGCCUUCAGUUUGGUUUCUGAUCCUUGCAUUGGUUUGACUGAUGGUUUGUUAUGCUUGAAGUGUAAGAAAUGCAUGCAAUGAGGUGGUUGGCUCAAAUUCCAGUAUUCAAACUCUGCCAUGGACUGAUUCUUUUCUUUUGUAUGUGACUUUUACUGCUACUGACUGGUGUAUGAAUGAACACGGGUGACAAUCUAUUGCUAACCCAGGGACCAUGUGUGAUACUGCUUUGGAUAUGUUCCUAUUGGAGAUGCCUUCAUUUGCUGGUUUCCCAUGGUGUUGCAGGAUGGUGGAACGGAUAAUGAAAGGACCUUGUUGUUGAUGAUGCAUAAAGGGCAGUAUUCUGCCUUGGUUUAAUUCCAAUCAUGUGGCAAUGGUGUCAUGGUGUAACCCUCUCCAUUUAAGCUCUUAUGCUCUUAUGCUGGAUUGUUCUGAUGUUAGCUUAGGAAUUAUUAACUUAAAAUGUACUUAGAAUGUAAUUUACCUUUUGCCAUGGUUACAAAUAGCAUGGUUAUGGAUGGUUUCAUUAUGUCAUGUAUCUUGAUUUGUAAAAUGGGAGUUUUGUAACCUUUCAUUAGAAAUGUUGAAUUUGGAACUUCAUGAAUGGAUAUUGGCUUUGAGAA